rnacentral:tRNA from 1 species
GCCCCUGUAUCCCAACUGGCAGAGGACGCACGCUCAGAACGUGUGGGGUCCAGGUUCGAAUCCUGGCAGGGGUA